GUCUUGCGAAGCAAGCCCACAGGAAAUUCGCUUUGCGAAGCGCCUCCAAAACGGAAAACCCUUUCGUCUAGCGGGUUUUUCGUCUUGCGAGGCGUUCGUCUUGCGGGGCACCACUGUACUCUAAGGUCAUACUACAGUCCCCAUGUUUGGAUAUAAAGAAGAACUAUGGUUUAAUAAACUGAGACCUAAUUGUGGAGCAUCAGAGAAAGGAGGAAGCACAUACAGUGGUACCUCGCAAGACGAAUGCCUCGCAAGACGGAAAACUCGCAAAACGAAAGGGUUUUUGGUUUUUUGAGUUGCUUCGCAAGACGAUUUUCCCUAUGGGUUUGCUUCGCAAGAC